rnacentral:rRNA from 1 species
UACAGAGGGUGCGAGCGUUAAUCGGAAUUACUGGGCGUAAAGCGCACGUAGGCGGCUUGGUAUGUCGGGUGUGAAAUCCCCGGGCUCAACCUGGGAACUGCAUCCGAAACUGCCUUGCUAGAGUAUGGGAGAGGGAAGUGGAAUUUCCGGUGUAGCGGUGAAAUGCGUAGAUAUCGGGAGGAACACCUGAGGCGAAGGCGGGCUACUGGGCCGAUACUGACGCUGAGGCGCGAAAGCCAGGGGAGCAAACGGG